ACGAAGCAAAGACAGCUGCGUGGACUGUGGGACAGGAUGGGCACGCACUAACAGUGACAGACUGGGGACCCAGCAAGGCCUGUCCAGGUUCUGUUCUGCCCCUCAUGUCACAUUCCUUCCUCCAGACCAAACAAGGAGAAAAUUUGAGAGACUCAAAUUGUAGGACAUUUGGCACUGAUUUGCAGCAGUUCUCGUUGGACACAUCAGACUCUUCUAGGUCUAAAGUCCUUUUGUAUGUGUCUGCCACUCUCUAAGUGGUCUUUGUUAGCUCUGUGGUCUUCCUGGCCCCCUGACCAGCCGCUGGCAGAGGAGGGAAGGGAUCCACAAUCAACAGCCCAGCUUCGGAGGCAGCCACAUUCCCAGGGCCCACCUCCACCACGCCACUUUCCAGAGCAGGAAGCCAGAAUCAGCGCUCAGCCACAGGCCUUCCUGUGACAGUCACCAUCCUGCCUCAUACAGAAACUGGCAAAGAGACUGAAGCAGUUCACUGGCCUGAAAGUGCCUAGCAAGCUGUGACCAGCAGACAGCCGUGGAGACUCUUCAUCUUCCUUAGGAGGUCUGCAGGGCGUCUGAACAGGCAACACCUGGCCUGGUCCCGAGUUUGCCUGUGACUGCAACAAUGAGGGAUGCUAACUAGUUUUUCUUCCUCCCUCCUUCCCUCCUUUCCUUCCUUCCUUCCUUCCUUCCUUCCUUCCUUCCUUCCUUCCUUCCUUCCUUCCUUCUUUCUUUCCUUCCUUCUUUCCCAGAAAAGGUAGAAGAAUCUCUGUGGGGUGAUGUGAUUUUCCAAAGCUGAUCCAAAAGUAAAGGUGAGGCUUUUAACAGGCUACCUUACCUAGCUGGAUUAUUCAUGCUGUAUCACAAUUCUUGUAGGGUCCUGAAUUGCAAAAUUAAAUCAACAAAUAGCUUCUUAAUCUAAACUUCAGUGGCCCUGCUGCUGUUUGAGGAGGAUACAGAUAUGCCUUGAGUUAUAAUAGGUUAAUUCUCAACAAACCCAUCACACACUGAAUGUAUCUAAUGCAUUCAAGCCACCCAACACCUAUCCACCUUAAAUAUGCCAGAACACUUACCUUAACCUGCAGCUGGCUGAAAUCACCUGAUGCAGUGCUUAUUUUACAACAAGUUGUAAACAUCUCAGAUGAAUUAUUGAAUACUGGGCUGGGCUGGAAGACUGAAUAGUUGUGUGGUUGUACUUUCUCAUUACUGUAAAGUAGAAAAAUCCAAAAUCAAACUGUCAUGAGUCUUGGCUUUCAGUAUUACAAAAUUUCCAACCUAAACUUGCCAGCUGACUGCUUCAGGGGGAAGUCCCUGGGUUCUGUAGGUAGUGGA
rnacentral:lncRNA from 1 species